rnacentral:rRNA from 1 species
AAUGAACGUUGGCGGCAUGGAUUAGGCAUGCAAGUCGAGCGAGAAGUGUAGCAAUACACGGAAAGCGGCGGAAGGGAGAGUAAUACGUGGGAAUCUGCCCUUAGACCUGGGAUAGCAGCGGGAAACUGCUGGUAAUACCAGAUAAUGUCUAUGGACCAAAGGUGUGAUUCCGUCUAGGGAUGAGCCCACGUCCUAUUAGCUAGUUGGUAGGGUAAUGGCCUACCAAGGCGAUGAUGGGUAGCGGGUGUGAGAGCAUGACCCGCCUCACUGGGACUGAGACACUGCCCCGACACCUACGGGUGGCUGCAGUCGAGAAUCUUCGGCAAUGGGCGCAAGCCUGACCGAGCGAUGCCGCGUGCGGGAUGAAGGCCUUCGGGUUGUAAAUCGCUGUCAGAGGGGAGGAAAUAUCGGUGGGUUCUCCCAUCGGUUUGACCUAUCCUCAGAGGAAGGACGGGCUAAGUUCGUGCCAGCAGCCGCAGUAAUAC